UUUCGGUUUUGAUUUGUUGCCUACUUCAGUUCGAGCUGUCAAUGUUCUGUCAACGUCCUUUACAUGGUUGAUUGCCGAAAGUACCACGUGCAUUUCAACCAAUUUCGGCGAUUUUUUAUUGAAAAAGAGAGAUAAAAAUGCCUUUAGCCGUCGACUUAUUGCACCCUAGCCCCGAAAACCAAAAAAGGGCGCACAAAAAGAAACGAUUAGUCCAGCACCCGAACAGUUACUUCAUGGAUGUUAAGUGCCCAGGAUGCUACGCUAUCUCCACAAUUUUUUCACAUGCACAAAGCGCGGUUCCUUGCAAAGGAUGCUCGACGAUUUUGUGCACGUCCACGGGAGGUAAAGCUAGAUUAACGGAAGGAUGCAGUUUCAGACGUAAACAACAUUAAUUUUAUUCAUGUCUUAAUGUAAUUUAAGCUUUGUUUGUAAUAAAUACUUAUUCAAAGAGAA